CAGCAGUAGCCGCGGGAAUACAGAGGGUGCGAGCGUUAAUCGGAUUUACUGGGCGUAAAGCGUGCGUAGGCGGCUUCUUAAGUCGGAUGUGAAAUCCCUGAGCUUAACUUAGGAAUUGCAUUCGAUACUGGGAAGCUAGAGUAUGGGAGAGGAUGGUAGAAUUCCAGGUGUAGCGGUGAAAUGCGUAGAGAUCUGGAGGAAUACCGAUGGCGAAGGCAGCCAUCUGGCCUAAUACUGACGCUGAGGUACGAAAGCAUGGGGAGCAAACAGGAUUAGAUACCCCGGUAGUCCCUGUCUCUUAUAU
rnacentral:rRNA from 1 species